AGGGUAGUAUUUUAUAUUGAAACCCAAAGAAUUUGGCGGCUUUCUUUCCUUUUAGAGGAACCUGCUCAUUAAAUGAUAUUACACGAUAUUCUCUACUGAUUUUAUUUGUUUGUGUAUUUCCGUUAUCAGUAUAUUUAUUGAUGAUAUUUUCUUAAUUUUUAAUUAAACUUUAUUUCAGGUCAAGGUGCAGCUUAUAAAUCAGUUUGUAGUGGGUUACAAUAUUAUAAAAAUAUAUGGAUAUUAUUAUAAUUUUUAAUUGAAGGUGGAUUUAAUAGUAAAUCUUGUUUUUAUUCAAGGUUGAAUUGGUUCAAGUUUGUGU
rnacentral:rRNA from 1 species